rnacentral:rRNA from 1 species
UUAAGCGACUAAGCGUACACGGUGGAUGCCCUGGCAGUCAGAGGCGAUGAAGGACGUGCUAAUCUGCGAAAAGCGUCGGUAAGGUGAUAUGAACCGUUAUAGCCGGCGAUGUCCGAAUGGGGAAACCCAGUGUGAUUCGUCACACUAUCGUUAACUGAAUACAUAGGUUAACGAGGCGAACCGGGGGAACUGAAACAUCUAAGUACCCCGAGGAAAAGAAAUCAACCGAGAUUCCCCCAGUAGCGGCGAGCGAACGGGGAGCAGCCCAGAGUCUGAAUCAGCUUGUGUGUUAGUGGAACGGUCUGGAAAGUCCGACGGUACAGGGUGAUAGUCCCGUACACCAAAAUGCACAGGCUGUGAACUCGAAGAGUAGGGCGGGACACGUGGUAUCCUGUCUGAAUAUGGGGGGACCAUCCUCCAAGGCUAAAUACUCCUGACUGACCGAUAGUAAACCAGUACCGUGAGGGAAAGGCGAAAAGAACCCCGGCGAGGGGAGUGAAAAAGAACCUGAAACCGUGUACGUACAAGCAGUGGGAGCACCUUCGGGUGUGACUGCGUACCUUUUGUAUAAUGGGUCAGCGACUUAUAUUCUGUAGCAAGGUUAACCGUAUAGGGGAGCCGCAGGGAAACCGAGUCUUAACUGGGCGUUAAGUUGCAGGGUAUAGACCCGAAACCCGGUGAUCUAGCCAUGGGCAGGUUGAAGGUUGGGUAACACUAACUGGAGGACCGAACCGACUAAUGUUGAAAAAUUAGCGGAUGACUUGUGGCUGGGGGUGAAAGGCCAAUCAAACCGGGAGAUAGCUGGUUCUCCCCGAAAGCUAUUUAGGUAGCGCCUCGUGAAUUCAUCUUCGGGGGUAGAGCACUGUUUCGGCUAGGGGGUCAUCCCGACUUACCAACCCGAUGCAAACUACGAAUACCGAAGAAUGUUAUCACGGGAGACACACGGCGGGUGCUAACGUCCGUCGUGAAGAGGGAAACAACCCAGACCGCCAGCUAAGGUCCCAAAGUCAUGGUUAAGUGGGAAACGAUGUGGGAAGGCACAGACAGCCAGGAUGUUGGCUUAGAAGCAGCCAUCAUUUAAAGAAAGCGUAAUAGCUCACUGGUCGAGUCGGCCUGCGCGGAAGAUGUAACGGGGCUAAACCAUGCACCGAAGCUGCGGCAGCGACACUAUGUGUUGUUGGGUAGGGGAGCGUUCUGUAAGCCUGCGAAGGUGACCUGUGAGGGUUGCUGGAGGUAUCAGAAGUGCGAAUGCUGACAUAAGUAACGAUAAAGCGGGUGAAAAGCCCGCUCGCCGGAAGACCAAGGGUUCCUGUCCAACGUUAAUCGGGGCAGGGUGAGUCGACCCCUAAGGCGAGGCCGAAAGGCGUAGUCGAUGGGAAACAGGUUAAUAUUCCUGUACUUGGUGUUACUGCGAAGGGGGGACGGAGAAGGCUAUGUUAGCCGGGCGACGGUUGUCCCGGUUUAAGCAUGUAGGCUGGUUGUCCAGGCAAAUCCGGAUAAUCAAGGCUGAGGUGUGAUGACGAGGCACUACGGUGCUGAAGUAACAAAUGCCCUGCUUCCAGGAAAAGCCUCUAAGCAUCAGGUAACAUCAAAUCGUACCCCAAACCGACACAGGUGGUCAGGUAGAGAAUACCAAGGCGCUUGAGAGAACUCGGGUGAAGGAACUAGGCAAAAUGGUGCCGUAACUUCGGGAGAAGGCACGCUGGUGUGUAGGUGAAGUCCCUGCGGAUGGAGCUGAGACCAGUCGAAGAUACCAGCUGGCUGCAACUGUUUAUUAAAAACACAGCACUGUGCAAACACGAAAGUGGACGUAUACGGUGUGACGCCUGCCCGGUGCCGGAAGGUUAAUUGAUGGGGUUAUCCGUAAGGAGAAGCUCUUGAUCGAAGCCCCGGUAAACGGCGGCCGUAACUAUAACGGUCCUAAGGUAGCGAAAUUCCUUGUCGGGUAAGUUCCGACCUGCACGAAUGGCGUAAUGAUGGCCAGGCUGUCUCCACCCGAGACUCAGUGAAAUUGAACUCGCUGUGAAGAUGCAGUGUACCCGCGGCAAGACGGAAAGACCCCGUGAACCUUUACUAUAGCUUGACACUGAACAUUGAGCCUUGAUGUGUAGGAUAGGUGGGAGGCUUUGAAGCGUGGACGCCAGUCUGCGUGGAGCCAACCUUGAAAUACCACCCUUUAAUGUUUGAUGUUCUAACGUUGGCCCCUGACCGGGGUUGCGGACAGUGUCUGGUGGGUAGUUUGACUGGGGCGGUCUCCUCCCAAAGCGUAACGGAGGAGCACGAAGGUUAGCUAAUCCUGGUCGGACAUCAGGAGGUUAGUGCAAUGGCAUAAGCUAGCUUGACUGCGAGCGUGACGGCGCGAGCAGGUGCGAAAGCAGGUCAUAGUGAUCCGGUGGUUCUGAAUGGAAGGGCCAUCGCUCAACGGAUAAAAGGUACUCCGGGGAUAACAGGCUGAUACCGCCCAAGAGUUCAUAUCGACGGCGGUGUUUGGCACCUCGAUGUCGGCUCAUCACAUCCUGGGGCUGAAGUAGGUCCCAAGGGUAUGGCUGUUCGCCAUUUAAAGUGGUACGCGAGCUGGGUUUAGAACGUCGUGAGACAGUUCGGUCCCUAUCUGCCGUGGGCGCUGGAGAAUUGAGGGGGGCUGCUCCUAGUACGAGAGGACCGGAGUGGACGCAUCACUGGUGUUCGGGUUGUCAUGCCAAUGGCACUGCCCGGUAGCUAAAUGCGGAAGAGAUAAGUGCUGAAAGCAUCUAAGCACGAAACUUGCCCCGAGAUGAGUUCUCCCUGAGACUUUAAGUCUCCUGAAGGAACGUUGAAGACGACGACGUUGAUAGGCCGGGUGUGUAAGCGCAGCGAUGCGUUGAGCUAACCGGUACUAAUGAACCGUGAGGCUUAACCUU